UACAGAGGUCUCAAGCGUUGUUCGGAUUCAUUGGGCGUAAAGGGUGCGUAGGCGGACCUGUAAGUCAGUGGUGAAAUCUCUCAGCUUAACUGAGAAACUGCCAUUGAUACUGCAAGUCUAGAGUAUAGAUGACGUUGGCGGAAUAUGACAUGUAGUGGUGAAAUACUUAGAUAUGUCAUAGAACACCGAUUGCGAAGGCAGCUAACGAAACUAUAACUGACGCUGAGGCACGAAAGUGCGGGGAUCAAACAGG
rnacentral:rRNA from 1 species